ensembl:misc_RNA Metazoa_SRP Metazoan signal recognition particle RNA
GCUGGGUGUGGUGGUGCACAGCCGUAGUCCCAGCUACUCAGGAGGCUGAGGCAGGAGGAUCACUUGAGCCCAGGAGUUUGAGAUUGCAGUUUGAGCUAUGAUUACACCACUGCACUCCAGCCUGGGCAAAAGAGUGGGACCCUGUCUCCA